CGCCGCGUGUGGGACGAAGCCCCUCGGGGUGUUAAACCACUGUCAGGGGUAAGGAAGUUCUGAUCUGCCCCAGAGGAAGGCACGGCUAACUCUGUGC
rnacentral:rRNA from 1 species